rnacentral:rRNA from 1 species
UACGAACCGUGCGAACGUUGUUCGGAAUCACUGGGCGUAAAGGGCGCGUAGGCGGCCCGCUAAGUCGAACGUGAAAUCCCCAGGCUCAACCUGGGAACUGCGUCCGAUACUGGCAGGCUUGAAUCCGGGAGAGGGAUGUGGAAUUCCAGGUGUAGCGGUGAAAUGCGUAGAUAUCUGGAGGAACACCGGUGGCGAAGGCGGCAUCCUGGACCGGUAUUGACGCUGAGGCGCGAAAGCUAGGGGAGCAAACGGG